GUAUGGAGCAAGCGUUAUCCGGAUUUACUGGGUGUAAAGGGAGUGUAGGUGGCCAGGCAAGUCAGAAGUGAAAGCCCGGGGCUCAACCCCGGGACUGCUUUUGAAACUGCAGGGCUAGAGUGCAGGAGGGGCAAGUGGAAUUCCUAGUGUAGCGGUGAAAUGCGUAGAUAUUAGGAGGAACACCAGUGGCGAAGGCGGCUUGCUGGACUGUAACUGACACUGAGGCUCGAAAGCGUGGGGAGCAAACAGGAUUAGAUACCCUGGUAGUCCACGCUGUAAACGAUGAAUACUAGGUGUCGGGGCACAUAAGUGCUCCGGUGCCGCAGCAAACGCAAUAAG
rnacentral:rRNA from 1 species